GACAGAGGGUGCAAACGUUGCUCGGAAUUACUGGGCGUAAAGCGCGUGUAGGCGGUCUGCUAAGUCGGGUGUGAAAGCCCUGGGCUCAACCCAGGAAGUGCACUCGAAACUGGCGGGCUAGAGUAUCGGAGAGGUUGGUGGAAUUCUCGGUGUAGAGGUGAAAUUCGUAGAUAUCGAGAGGAACACCGGUGGCGAAGGCGGCCAACUGGACGAAUACUGACGCUGAGACUCGAAAGCGUGGGGAGCAAACAGG
rnacentral:rRNA from 1 species